rnacentral:sRNA from 1 species
GCCAGGCGUGGUGGUGCAUGCCUGUAAUCCCAGUGGCUCUGGAAGCUGAGACAGGAGGAUUUAAAGUUCAAAGCCAGCCUCAACAAAGGCCAGGCACUAAACACUCAGUGAGACCCUGUUUCUA